GACGAACCGUGCGAACGUUAUUCGGAAUCACUGGGCUUAAAGCGCGUGUAGGCGGCCCGGAGCAUCGUCGGCUGAAAUCCCCCGGCUCAACCGGGGAACGGGCCACGAGAUGUCCGGGCUGGAGGGGGGUAGGGGGAGCCGGAACUCACGGUGGAGCGGUGAAAUGCGUUGAGAUCGUGAGGAACGCCCGUGGCGAAAGCGGGCUCCUGGACCCCGCCUGACGCUGAGACGCGAAAGCCAGGGGAGCGAACGGG
rnacentral:rRNA from 2 species